AGGGCACCACCAGGAGUGGAGCCUGCGGCUUAAUUUGACUUAACACGGGAAAACUCACCCGGCCCGGACACUGGAAGGAUUGACAGAUUGAGAGCUCUUUCUUGAUUCAGUGGGUGGUGGUGCAUGGCCGUUCUUAGUUGGUGGAGUGAUUUGUCUGGUUAAUUCCGAUAACGAACGAGACUCUAGCCUACUAAAUAGAUCGUCGGCUUACAAACGCCGGCGAGACUUCUUAGAGGGACAGGCGGUGAUUCAACCGCACGAAACAGAGCAAUAACAGGUCUGUGAUGCCCUUAGAUGUCCGGGGCCGCACGCGCGCUACACUGAAGUGAUCAGCGUGCUUUUUCAACCUACUCUGUCAAGAGUGGGGAACCCAAUGAACCUUCUUCGUGAUUGGGAUAGGGGAUUGUAAUUAUUCCCCUUGAACGAGGAAUUCCCAGUAAGCGCGAGUCAUAAGCUCGCGUUGAUUACGUCCCUGCCCUUUGUACACACCGCCCGUCGCUACUACCGAUUGAAUGUUUU
rnacentral:rRNA from 1 species